UCCCUCAAAGGCUUCCAAUAUU
rnacentral:miRNA from 1 species